rnacentral:rRNA from 1 species
UACGUAGGGUGCAAGCGUUAAUCGGAAUUAUUGGGCGUAAAGAGCGUGUAGGCGGUUUGGUAGGUCCGCUGUGAAAACUCGAGGCUCAACCUCGAGACGCCGGUGGAAACCAUCAGACUAGAGUCCGGAAGAGGAGAGUGGAAUUCCUGGUGUAGCGGUGAAAUGCGCAGAUAUCAGGAAGAACACCCGUGGCUAAGGCGGCUCUCUAGUACGGUACUGACGCUGAGACGCGAAGGCGUGGGGAGCGAACAGG